rnacentral:lncRNA from 1 species
AUGUACAAUACUCGUGUUGUGUUUCAACAGGCAUUAUUAACAGGUUUAUGUGUGUCGUGUCCUGAAAGUCCAUUACAUUUUCUGGAAAGGAAGAUUGUGUCUAUUCAGGAAAACCGGGACACUGCUGAGAUUGAUUGGCAUACAUGUGUUGAUGAUCCAGAACAAGUCGCCGUGACCUCACUGGCAGGAAGCAUGGUGCAUGACAUCUUUGGGAAACGAGAUGAUACACUGUUUCUCUCCCAUUUGUUUGAGAAGGCCUACUCCUGUUACAGAAUAAGUUUAACAAAUAUGUGCUUCAAGGCGUGGAAAAGGUUCAUCUGGAAUAAGCGGAAGGAGGCCAGGGAGUUGACGCUGAAGAUGGAGACAGCUGAGAGGCACUACAUACAGAGGGGCCUGAGGGUCGCACUCUGCAAGUGGGUGGAGUGGGUACAGGUCUGCAAGAGAAGGCAGAACGAUGCCAUGAAGAAGAUCCAGCGAGUGUGGAAUGCUAUCCACUGUAAGAUUGUCAUAGGUGCUUGGCGCUAUGUGGUGCAGGACUCAAAACGGACAAAGGAGUACUUUGAGAGACUGGAGAAUGGUCUGUUAGAGAUGAGCAGUAAGGACUCUGACGUUUCCAUUGGAGAGGGACAUGACGGACUCUCACUGCUACCUUGCAAGCUCUCAAUAAAGGUACUCCUCUCUCUCUCGCUCUUACUGUCUUCCUCAUGCUCACUCGCUAAACUUGCCUCUUCUUUCUUUCUCACCCUACAUUCUUAUGAGUCACAUGUUCACCCCAGGUAUCCUGAGUUUUCUUCUUUAACUGUCAGAUUAAUUGUUUGUGAAGGUUCCUAG